AUGUUAAUGUGAUAGAAGAGCCUAGAGAGAGAAAGUAGGAGAGAGAGUAGAGCUACAGCUACGCAUGAAUGGGGAGCCGACGUCUCUGCUAACGCUCUUCGUUCCUCGAUUCCUCCGCUUCAUUCCCCUCCUCGAUUCCUUCCCCGCUGCGCUUUCCCUCACGAGACAUAGCCAUGAAAAGUGGCGGGCAAACGAAGCCGCUCGCCUAGCAGCAUCGGAAGCAGAGGAGGAGGAGCUGGAGAAGAAGCAGCGGGUGCUGAUCUUAGCUGAUCUUUCCAGUAUUGGCGAAAUCCCUCAUUGAUUCUUCCAAUUAUGCGAGGUUCAGUUCACCUCUUUUGAUCCCUUGAUGUUCCAACAAAAGAUCUCGUUGCGCCUAAACUGAAAAUGUCAGAUUUUGUUGGAGGCCCAUUGAACUACGAGCAGAGAAAAGAAAGAAAAUCAGAUGCGGAGAACUCUGAGGAGGAGAGACAGCGAACAAGAAUGGGGGCCCUUAAGAAAAAAGCGUUGAAUGCUUCCUGUAGAUUCACUCACUCUCUAAAGAAACGAAGGAGAAGGAGAGUCGACUUCAGGGUGCCUUCGGUUUCAAUCGAGGAUGUGAGAGAUGCUGAAGAGGAGCGAGCAGUGUACUCAUUCCGGCAGCAACUCAUUGCCAAGAACUUGCUGCCUAAUAGACAUGAUGACUAUCACACACUGCUCAGAUUUCUCAAGGCCAGAAAAUUUGACUUGGAGAAAGCAACCCAUAUGUGGGCUGAGAUGCUUCAAUGGAGAAAAGAAUUUGGAACUGACACAAUUCUGGAGAACUUCGAAUUUGAAGAACUCGAUAGAGUCUUGCGCUGUUAUCCACAUGGAUAUCAUGGAGUUGACAAGGAGGGUAGGCCAGUUUACAUAGAGAGGCUUGGGAAGGUUGAGCCAAAUAAGCUCAUGCAUAUAACCACAAUUGAGCGGUACUUAAAGUAUCAUGUGCAAGAAUUUGAGAGAGCUCUGGCUGAGAAAUUUCCUGCAUGCUCUAUUGCUGCCAAAAGACACAUACAUUCAUCGACCACGAUUUUGGAUGUACAAGGCGUGGGCCUGAAGAAUUUCAGCAAGACAGCCAGAGACCUGUUACUCAAUAUGCAAAAAAUAGAUGGUGAUUAUUAUCCUGAGACACUGCAUCAAAUGUUUAUCGUUAAUGCUGGCCAUGGUUUCAAGCUUCUUUGGAAUACUGUAAAAGGCUUUCUUGAUCCCAAAACUACUUCAAAGAUACAUGUUCUAGGAACCAAAUAUCAGAGUAGACUUCUUGAAGCAAUUCAUUCAAGUGAACUUCCUGAAUUUCUUGGCGGUACAUGUACAUGUUAUUAUGAUGGAGGAUGUCUUAGAUCUAAUAAAGGACCUUGGAAAGAUCCAGUCAUAGUGAAGCUUGUGCAAGGUGUUGAUGCAGACCACUUGAUGGAAAGCAGACACAAAUAUGACGGAGAAAAAAUUUCAAUCCCUCGUAAUAGGCUGAACUCUUUGAAGGAAAGAGAUAGUGAUACAUCGGCGGCUGAAUCAGUUUCUGAGGUUGAUGAUCUUGGUUCUCCUGUCAUAUCAACGUCCGCUGAGGAUACUUUAGUUCGUAAAGAGGUUGGGGAGGCAGAUUUGAUCGCUUAUCAUAGCUGUGAUGAACAAUUUGUCACGAUCGAUAAAGUUGUUGAUAUUGGUCAAGCUGGAUCCCUGCUUGAUGUGUGGACAGUGCGAGAUCUUGCAUGUGGCUCUGCAAAUGCAGUUUCAACUUCACUUGAUUCACCGAACACCAUCGCUGAGAGGCACAGCAUCAAGGAUAAUGCAGGAGAAGGAAAGCUACACACUCUUGCAAGAAUGUCGGUUGCAUUUCUCAUAAAAAUGCUAUCCUUCUUUCCUAUGUUAAGGUCUAGACAGGAUAGCAGAUCAGAGAAUAUUCAUCUGUCAAGCGAAUUGGACUUGUCACAUAAAAAGUACUCUGCUACUGCAACCAUGAUCAAAGAUGCUACUGCUUACAUGGAGCGCCUUCAAAGGGUGGAAUCGAUUUUAAACCAACUUACUAAUAAGCCAGCUGAGAUCCCUCUAGAUAAAGAGCGCAUGAUAUUGGAUUCUAUGGAUAGGAUAAGAUGUGUUGAGUUUGAUCUCCAAAUGGCAAAUAAAGUACUGCAAGCAACAAUGAUGAAGCAAAUGGAGAUGGAAGCAACUUUGGAGGCUAUGAAAGAUUCUAUUGUCAAUAGGAGAAAGUUUUGUUGAUCAGGGAAAGACUACUACAUCCUUAAGCUGAUGAGAUUUGCUCCCGAAUACUCUCAUACAGUCAUACUUUGCACUCUCAAACGGAUACACGAGAUCAUUUGAGCGAUGAGCUCAGGGAAGAUGACGAUCGAUGUGGUAUGGCAAAGGAGGAGAAGGAAAAGAAAAAAUCAAAAAGGAAAGGAAAAAAAGCUGCAAAAGUCAGAGCUAUUCUUGUGCAUAUAUUGAUUGCUACAAGUGUUCAGUUACUUGAAUGUUGUUUCCACUGUCGAGUUUUGAUGUGACAAUAGGAAUUUUAUGGCUUCACUGAGGAAGCUGGCUCUUUUGUAAGGAUAGCUUAUCUUGUUAAGGAGAGGAAAAGAUAAGCAGCCAGAAUGCAUCUAUUAUCAAUGGUGUGUUUGGUUUGUUCGACUCACUUGACUUGUUCGAUCGGUUCGACCCAUCAGGAGUUCCUAGUUCACUUGGCCUAUCGAAUGCUCAGCCACAUUUAGCUUGUCAUGUCCAAGUAAGUCUUCCUCAGUUUGUAAGCCCAUAAUUUGGUC